UGGCAGCGAGUGGUCCCUGAGCUGACAUUGCGGAGUGCCGGGCAACGCCAUGGAGAGCAGCAGGUAUUGACAUUGCAGAGUGCUACUUUGGUCAAUUUGUCGUGUACUUUAACAUGUUGUAUAUGUCGAUUUGAUGCAUCCUUAACAUGCCUUCUAGGUGGAUCUGGUCCUAUACAUUUGGAUUUGGAUUUGGAUUUGUUCAUAUGCUCAUUAGGUAUUAACCUUGUGUUGUGUAGGUAACAGCGCACUCCCUGCAACCUAUUAACUUUAGAGCCUCAUCGUAGUGCAUGCUUUCAACAACUUGAUACAGCCUCUCAACGUAGUGCUAGCGUUCAACCUGCUGAGUCACUUGAGGUGGCUAGUGAUAGCAGUUAUGACUCAGAUGCUGCUGCUUCUGACAUUAACUCUAAAAUGGAUGAGUCUAACUAUGAUGGUGAUGAUGUAAUAAGCCUUGAUGAUGACGAGGACAUUGAACCUACAUUUUGUUAUGAUGUUGAUCA
rnacentral:lncRNA from 1 species